UGGGGAAUAUUGGACAAUGGGCGCAAGCCUGAUCCAGCCAUGCCGCGUGAACGAUGAAGGCCUUAGGGUUGUAAAACUCUUUCGUCGGGGACGAUAAUGACGGUACCCGAAGAAGAAGCUCCGGCUAACUUCGUGCCAGCAGCCGCGGUAAUACGAAGGGAGCUAGCGUUGUUCGGAAUCACUGGGCGUAAAGCGCACGUAGGCGGAUAGUUAAGUCAGGGGUGAAAUCCUGGGGCUCAACCCCAGAACUGCCUUUGAUACUGGCUGUCUCGAGGUCGAGAGAGGUUGGUGGAAUUCCUAGUGUAGAGGUGAAAUUCGUAGAUAUUAGGAAGAACACCAGUGGCGAAGGCGGCCAACUGGCUCGAUACUGACGCUGAGGUGCGAAAGCGUGGGGAGCAAACAGGAUUAGAACCCCCGUAGUCCCUGAGCGGGCUGGCAAGGCGCAU
rnacentral:rRNA from 1 species